CAGGCAGGGGCCAGUGGGCUGGUUGGUGAAACCGGUUCCUUCUCCCAAGCAAGCACCUUAACAUCAACAGGAACAGGUCCUUUUGAGAAAGAAAAAACUCAUUCGCAGGACCUGCUCUGGAAGGCUCAUCUCGUCAGAGGACUGAGGAUCAAGGGGUCUGUACACACUGGGCACCAACAGAAGGUGCGAAGCAAGCAUUUAAGUCCCAAAAGCAAAUAAAUGGUGGCGGGUGCGGGGGUACUGCUCCUUCCAGUUGUAGAGGAACAGAAUAUGCCAACCUCAAAGUAUACAACUUCAAUUCAGAGAUUAUUUUAAAUGGAAGAUGUCUGAUUUUCAACAGACUCAAGAGAAAGAAAGAGGAAGGAAAAAAGGGGGAGGAAGGGGAGAGAGAGACAAGAUGAAAGAGAGACUCAAUAAAAGCCUUCUCAGAAUUUUCCUUAUCUGAUUACAAGAACCAUCUGAGAAGUAGGCUGCCAUGGAUUCCUCCUAGGGAAGAUCUACUACCCAAUAGGAAUAGAAUAGGAAUUAACCAACUAUAAAUCCUUUCUCCAAGAGAGCGCUGAGAGUGAGCCGAAAACACGGAC
rnacentral:lncRNA from 1 species